CUGAACCAGCCAAGUAGCGUGAAGGAUGAAGGUCCUACGGAUUGUAAACUUCUUUUAUACGGGAAUAAAGUAUCCUACGUGUAGGAUUUUGUAUGUACCGUAUGAAUAAGGAUCGGCUAACUCCGUGCCAGCAGCCGCGGUAAUACGGAGGAUGCGAGCGUUAUCCGGAUUUAUUGGGUUUAAAGGGAGCGCAGACGGGAGAUUAAGUCAGUUGUGAAAGUUUGCGG
rnacentral:rRNA from 1 species